GUGUGGGUGUUGUGGGGAGGUAUUGAAAUGGUAGGGAAUUGUAUUUCCAGUCCACCAUUUCAGGCAUGAGAAGAAAGUGACUGAUAGAAAAAUAGACAGUAUACUUUCCUAUAUAGGCCUGCCAAAACCUCUCUCCAAAUUGAAGAAAAAGGAAAGCAAAAAUCGUACCGUUUUCUUCAUUCAGUGAUGAAAUUAUGUCCUGGCCUCCUUUUAGACUAAACUUAAACGUAGCCUUUGCAUUUCAUGAAAUUACCUCCUCCUCAUCCUCCUCCUUCU
rnacentral:misc_RNA from 1 species